UGCCCUUUCUGCACGAGGAUUACACGCAAUAGAGAAACUUGCAACACGAUCUUGUAGUAUUUAAAUACAUUUAUGUAUAUAUGUACAUAUAAACAUAUGUAUGCAUAAAUGUGUCGUUAUUCGUCAAAACUGGAUUCACAGUCUUUAUAUGUACAGACAUGCAUACAUAUGUCCAUAUGUAUGCAUAGAGCUUUGAAGUAACUGGCAUUCAUGUGUUUCAAUUCUGUUUCAUUCCAGAACAAUAAAGUACAAUGGAUCUUGAGAUGAUUUUGCGGUGCUUGUUGCACUCAAAACCGAAAAUAUGUGUCAUUAAUCACAUUUUUUAAGCAAUUACUACGUUGUUUUUAUAUAAAUUGGAAUAUAUUCAAAUCCUUACCUGCUAUAAUAACGACAGCCAUAUGGCGGAAAACGUUUUUCCUCCUUUCGCAGCAAUUUUCACACGGGUUUUCACCUGUAUUUGGAUGAUGCAAUGUUUUUUGUACUUUCUUUCGUUUCAUUUUCACUGACAUUUUUUCGCAUGCAUCAUUUAAAAUUUUCGCAUACAAAAGCAGAACGGAAUCACAUGUUUGACACGUAAUACCCGCAGAUUUUGUUUACUUUCAUUAAUUUUGCUCUGCUUUUCCGUAAAAAUGUGAAAUUGCACUUACUGACAAUAGAAAAUAUACGAAAUAUACAUACAUAGUUAAAGUACAA